CCCCCUGCUUCCCUGGCCCAGUGUACGCUGCUCUGUAAUAGCAGGUGUCUCGUGUCUACACCUGCCACAUCCUGCUUGUUUCCUGUUGCUGCCUGCUGGCCUGACGCUUGUGCUGCUGAUUCAUGUCUUGUAACCAUAGUUACGCUGGCUUCUGCAGGCUCCUCUAGCUUGGCCUUCUUGUAGCUGAUCAAAAGAGAACCAGCUCCAUCAUAACUGAUAUGGUGUUUAAUAUGGCUAGUCGCUGUUGGCUGCAGCGACUGUGAAUAGUAAUUAUUGAAGCUUGCAGUAUCUGGAGGUCUUUUGAAAUGGUACUUAAUCGGAACCUACUUAAUACAUUUAUUUGUGUGUGUGGCAGAAACUCGCUCAUGCUGAGGAAGAACUUUGUGCUUAACUCUUUGACACUUUUAAGUGAGUUUGAACUUAUGUUUGUACGUGCAUUGGUGUAAGAGAAGAUUUACAAACGGAUUGCCAGUACUAAAGUACAUUUGUCAAACCAUGGAUGUAAGCAGCGCCCAAGGAAAGCCAAAUAGAGAGAGCCUUUUGUCUGAUUGAGUCUGAUGGGACAUAAUAAUAUUCUAAAGUAGAGUUGUUCUUUUUCAUUACCAGAGCUUUAAGUUGUGCUUAAGAGUGCCAAGAGAGUUCUUGACAUUUUUACUCUCUGCUGCACAAUCCUCUCCUUAUCCUCCUCGUCUCUGGAGUUGUAUACAAUCACAGAGCUUCUCGUGUGUGUGUGUGUGUGUGUGUGUGUGUGUGUGUGUGUGUGUGUGUGCCCCUGUGAAUGCAGUACUAUGAGUUGCUGAGUACAGGGCAAAUUGUCUCCUAUUAGGCUCAUCUACUUUAAGGAUUUUUUUCAUUGGCAAGAUUAGCAAAUUUAGGCAUGACAUGCCAGCAACAAGCGCUGACACUACACAGCCAAGUAUAACUAAUCAAAUUAUGAAAGACAAGCAUUGUAAUUUUGGUUUCCAUAAAGUGAGAGUGGAAGAGGUGAACAAAUUUUUGUUGUCUAUUAACAAUGGUCUGCCACCGUGGUCUGCCAACUUGGAUGGAAAAUUACUGAGGAUAAUAGCGGACGAUAUUGCCACUCCUAUUUGCCAUAUCUUCAAUCUAAGCCUACUAGAAAGUGUGUUCCCCCAGGCUUGGAGGGAAGCAAAAGUAAUUCCGCUAUCCAAGAAUAGUAAAGCCCCCUUUACUGGCUCAAAUAGCCGACCAAUCAGCUUGUUACCAACCCUUAGUGAACUUUUGGAAAAAAUGGUGUUUGACCAGAUACAAUGCUAUUUUACUGUAAACAAAUUGACAACAGACUUUCAGCACGCUUAUGGAAGGACAUUUAACAAGCACGGCACUUACACAAAUGACUGACUGGUUGAUAGAAAUUGAUGAUAAAAGAUUGUGGGAGCUGUUUUGUUUGACUUCAGUGCGGCUUUUGAAAUGAUUGAUCAUAGUCUGCUGAUGGAUAAUCAUAUGUGUUAUGGCUUUACACCCCCUGCUAUAUUGUGGAUAAAGAGUUACCUGUAUAACAGAACACAGAUGGUUUUCUUUAAUGGAAGCCUCUCCACCAUAAUCCAGGUAUAAUCAGGAAUUCCCCAGGGCAGCUGUCAAGGCCCCUUAAUUUUUUCAAUCUUUACUAAUGACAUGCCACUAGCCUUGAGUAAAAACAGUGUGUCUGUGUAUGAGGAUGACUCAAAACUAUAAACGUCAGCUACUACAGUGAGUGAAAUCACUGCAACACUUAAAAUAGAGCUGCAAUUAGUUUCAGAAUGAGUGGCUCGGAAUAAGUUCGUCCUAAAUAUUUAAAAAGACUAAAUGCAUUAUAUUUGGGACAAAUCAUUCACUAAACCCAGAACCUCAACUAAAUCUUGUAAUAAAUCAUGAGUAAAUUGAGGUGACUAAACUGCUUGGAUUAACCGUUGAUUGUAAACUGUCAUGGUGAAAACAUGUUGAUACAACAGUAGCUAAGAUGGAGAGAAAAUGCGCUACUCUGCCUUUUUAACAACCCUAUCAACAACGCAGGUCCUACAGGUUCUUGUUUUGUCGCACCUGGACUUCGGUCGGGUGCCACAGAGGGUCACCUGACCACACAAUUGGCUCAGAACAGUGCAGCACGGCUGGCCCUUAAAUGUACACAGAGAUCUAAAAUUAAUAAUAUGCAUGUGAAUCUGGCUCAAUGUGGAGGAGCGAUUGACUUCAUCACUACUUGUUUUUGUAAGAAGUGUUGACAUGCCACCAAAGGUCUCUUCACAAUCCCCAUGUCAAGAACAGACUAUGGGAGGUGCGCGGUACAUGGAGACAUGGUUACAUAGAAGUCUAUUCCACAUUAGGUAACUGAUGCAAGCAGUAGAAUCAGACAAAAAUACACCUUAUGGAACAGCGGGGACUGUGAAGAGACACACACACAGGUACAGACCCACAUACACAUAAGACAUGCACUCUACACACACACGUACACAUUUUGUAUUGUAGAUAUGUGAGAAUAGAGUAGUGGCCUGAGGUAACACACUUAGUCAGCCACAAUUGGUGGCUGACUAAAUACUUUUUUGCCCCACUGUAUGUCGAUAUAGGACUCAUUUUACUAAGGAUAUAGAUACAUUUGUACCCGUUUCCUCCAGCAUCUUCACAAGGUCCUUUGCUGUUGUUCUGGGAUUGAUUUGCACUUUUCACACCAAAGUACGUUCAUCUCUAGGAGACAGAACGCGUCUCCUUCCUGAGCGGUAUGACGGCUGUGUGAUCCCAUGGUGUUUAUACUUGCUUACUAUUCUUUAUACAGAUGAACGUGGUACCUUCAGGCAUUUUGAAAUUGCUCCCAAGGAUGAACCAGACUUGUGGAGGUCUACACAUUUUUUUCUGAGGUCUUGGCUGAUUUCUUUUGAUUUUCCCAUUAAGUCAAGCAAAGAGGCACUGAGUUUGAAGGUAGGCCUUGAAAUACAUCCACAGGUACACCUCCAAUUGACUCAAAUGAUGUCAAUUAGCCUAUCAGAAGCUUCUAAAGCCAUGACAUCAUUUUCAGGAAUUUUCCAAGCUGUUUAAAGGCACAGUCAACUUAGUGUAUGUAAACAUCUGACCCACUGGAAUUAUGAUACAGUGAAUUAUAAGUGAAAUAAUCUGUCUGUAAACAAUUUUUGGAAAAAGUUGCUUGCGUCAUGCACAAAGUAGAUGUCCUAACCGACUUGCCAAAACUAUAGUUUGUUAACAAGAAAUUUGUGGAGUGGUUGAAAAACGAGUUUUAAUGACUCCAACAAUAGUGUACGUAAACUUCCGACUUCAACUGUAGCUGUUGAAUGCGGAUACGGCUGGUAAACCAGGUGAGUGAAUCUAAAUAUUGUGUCAUGUAGGCCUAGUGUAAAAGGCUCAUAAUGUCCUCAUGCUGCAUUGAUUAAGCCUUAGGGCAGGUGUAGAGUACAUUUGUUCUUGCCAGGAGUCCUCACACCAAGCAAUAUGUAUCUAGGAAUGUUAAAGUUGAAAUUCUGCACCAUGCUCUGUGCUCUUACCUAUCAUAACUUUACUUUGGAAUAUGUUGUUUAGUGUAAGUGCUGUGUGUCCUACACUUAAGGAGACCAGACAGAGGCAGAGCAGACCCGACAUAUUAAUAAUUAAUGACCCAGUGAAGGCUAGCUGUAUAGUAGCGCUCCAGUGAGGGUGACCAGGCUUUGUUCAGUAGGACACACAGAGAAGUGGGCCAUUGUGUGCGUGUGUGUGUGCGUUUUGGCUGGUAUUGGGUUACACACAAGGUCACUCUCAGUAAUCUCUGUUCAAUCAGUGGCCUCUAAGGUUGGGCGGUAUCCAGAUUUUCAUAUCGUCAUACUGUCUUUCUCUCAUCCUGGAAUUUACGGUAUUACUGGUAUUACUGUUUUUUUUUUGCAUUAAAAAUGCUAAAAAAAAACCUUUGGGUGUCUACCAAAAUGCUAAAAAAAUUCACACAAGUCCUAGCGGAUUUUUAUAGAAGCUGCUAGCUAAAUAUGCUAACGAGCACAAACGAAAAUAAACUAAUUGCAAAGACAUGAAAACCCGUCACAAGUUAUACAUAGAGUGCCUUCAUAAAGUUGUCUCACACCUAGACUUUUUCCACUUUUUGUUGUGUUACAGCCUUAAUUUAAAAUGUAUUAAGUUCAGAUUUUUUUGUCACUGGCCUACACACAAUACCCCAAAAUGUCAAUGUGUAAUUAUGUUUUUAGAAAUGUUUAGUAUUUAAUUAAAAAUUAAAAGCUGAAAUGUCUUGAGUCAAGUAUUCAAUCACUUUGCCUAAAUAAGUUCAGGAGUAAAAAUGUGCAAGUCACAUAAUUAUCAGGUAUCAAGGUAAGACCCAGAUGCAGACCGUGUCGAAGUAACAAUGUUUAUUACAGCAACGGCAGGCAAAGGUACAGGACGGCAGGCAUGCAGAGUGGUCAGGCGGAUGGGUACAGGGUCAGGACAGGCAAGGGUCAAAAACCAGGAGGACGAGAUAAGAGAGACUGGUGAAGAAAACCAGUCAGUAUAUUGUUUGACCAUCAUUUGCCUCAUGUAGCGCGACACAGUUCCUUUGCAUAGAGUUGUUCAGGCUGUUGAUUGAGGCCUGUGGAAUGUUGUCCACACUCCUCUUCAAUGGCUGUUUCGAAGAUGCUGGAUAUUUGCGGGAACUGGAACGCGCUGUCGUACACAUCAAUCUAGAGCAUCCCAAACAUGCUCAAUUGGUGACAUGUCUGGUGAGUAUUCAGGCCAUGGCAGAACUGGGACAUUUUCAGCUUCCAGGAAUUGUGUAAAGAUUCUUGCGACAUGGGGCCUUGCAUUAUCAUGCUGAAACAUGAGGCGAUGGCGGUGGAUGAAUGGCACGACAAUGGGCCUCAGGAUCUCGUCACGGUAUCUCUGUGCAUUGAAAUUGCCAUGGAUAAAAUACAAUUGUGUUAGUUGUCCGUAGCUUAUGCCUGCCCAUACUAUAACCCCACCACCAUCUUGGGGCACUCUGUUCACAACGUUGAUAUCAGUAAACUGUUUGCCCACACAAUGCCAUACACGCUGUCUGCCAUAUGCCAGGUACAGUUGAAACCAUGAUUCAUCCGUGAAGAGCACACUUCUUCAGCAUGCCAGUGGCCAUCAAAGGUUCACAUUUGCAUACUGAAAACUGUUACGACUCCAAACUGCAGUCAGGUCAAGACCCUAGUGAGGAUGACGAGCACGCAGAUGAGCUUCCCUAAGACGUUUUCUGACAGUUUGUGCAGAAAUGAUUUGGUUGUGCAAACCCACAGUUUCAUCAGCUGACUGGUUGACUGGUCUCAGACGAUCCAGCAGGUGAAGAAGCCAGAUAUUGAGGUCCUGUGCUGGUGUGGUUACACAUGGUCUGCGGUUGUGAGGCCGGUUGGACGUACUGCCAAAUUCUUUAAAAAAAUUGCUGGAGGCGGCUUAUGAUAGAGAAAUUAACAUUUAAAUUCUGAUAACAACUCUGGUGGGCAUUACUGCAGUCAGCAUGCCAAUUGCACGCUCCCUCAAAACUUGAGACUUCUGUGGCAUUGUGUUGUGUGACAAAACUGUACAUUUUAGAGUGGCCUUUUAUUGUCCUCAGCACAAGGUGCACCUGUGUAAGGAUAAUGCUGUUUAAUCAACUUCUUGAUAUGCCACACCUGUCAGGUAGAUGGAUUGUCUUGGCAAAAGAGAAAGGCUCACUAACAGAGAUGUAAACAAAUUUGUGCACAACAUUUUUGAGAAAUAAGCUUUUUGCGAGUAUGGAACAUUUCUGGGCUCUUUUAUUUCAGCUAAUGAUACAUGGGACCAACACUUUACAUGUUGCAUUUAUAUUUUAUGUUCAGUAUAAUUAGUGACCUUAAUUCAUCAAUCAAGUACAAGGGAGGAGUGAAAACCCACAGACACUCAGUCUUCCAUGGAAUGAGUUUGAGACCUGUGUAUUGGAGACUUAACCAGAAAGACUCACAACUGUAAUUGCUGCCAAAGGUGAUUCUAACAUGUAUUUACUCAGGGGUGUGAAUACUUACACUGUAUGUAACUGAGAUAUUUCUGUAUGACAUUUUCAAUAAAUUAGCAAACAAUUCUAAAAACAUGUUUGCACUUUGUCACUAUGGGGUAUUUUGUGUAGAUGGGUGAAAGAAAAACAUUUAUUGAAUCCAUUUUUGAAUUCAGGCUGUAACACAACAAAAUGUGGAAUAAGUGAAGGGGUAACAGGGCUGGUCCUUGCCUUUCUGCUGCUUUAGGCAAUCUCAAAAAGCGGCACCCACAGUGAAACUAGAAUAGUCCCAGUAAGCAAAAGGAUGUUGAAAAGAUGUCUAAAAUACUUAUUUUUCAGACGUUGAUGUAGGGUUAAAUUUAAGUUCUGAUUGAAUGGUAAAAAUAUCUAUUUUCCGUACGUAUUUUCCAGGACGUUGAAAAGGCAUGAAAGACGUUGAAAAAUACAUAUUUUACGGACGUUGAAAUCAGAUUCAUUUUCGGUAAUGAAUGACAGUUGAAAAUACUUAUUUUCCAGACGUUGAAAUCAGGUGUAAUUUUUUUGGUUUUGAAUGAAAGUUGAAAAUACGUAAUUUAGAGAUGACUAUGUUUGGCUGGUCUAGACCUGACCAAAUCUGAACCAAACAUAGAAGUCUAUGAUAGGUUCAGAUUUGGACCAGACCCAACCAAAAAUCUAUGUCCGUGGGUGUUGAAAUCAAAGCAAACAGGUUCAGAUUUGGUUCGUACCAGACCAAAAUCCAAUGUCAGUUGAUGUGGAAUUCAAUAUCGGUCUGGACUGAACAAAAAAAGACGUUCAAAAGGUGUCAGCGUCGGUCCUGCUUCCUGAGGUAUGUCAUAUAGUGUUGCCUGAAAUUGUAUUUUAUGAAUGCCCAACUGUGGUAAGCCUACCAUUUGUAAAACACCAAAUAAAGCCGUCUGGAUAGGACAAUAAAAAGACGUCGGCUCAUGCUUACUGGGGUUUAGCCUACGAUGUCAACCAGCAAUGGAAUUUUAUGAAUGCCCAUCCAUGUGGUAGGCCCAUCGUUUUUAAAACAGGCGGUUGCAUUGGCUUUUGACGAAUCAGUUUUGCUAUUUAAGCCCUGAAUUUCAGCUGCUCAACUUUUUAGGAGUUAUCAUGAGCCUAUUUGCAUUGUGUUUACACAGCAGGAAAUGCAGAAGUAUUUUUGUUGUUGCUAUGAUCAGCUUGAAAUCGCUGAUCAUGAAAAUGGGGUGAAACUCCUGGACAACAGUUGUUAUAGUCCAUUCCAAAUUGUCCAUUUUAUGUUGACGUGAUCUGUUUAUGGAAUAUGUUGUAAACGUGACCGCGCAUUUUUUUUAUUUGAUUGGGCACCAUUUAGUUAGGCUAUUUGAUCGGAGAAACCGGCAUGAUGUUAAAAUUGUCUGUCUCAAUACAUUGUCAUACAUUUUAUCUCCAGCCUGUAGGCUACAGUAAAGGCAACAUGCUAUUUUUACUAUAUCCUGUAUCUGCUACAGGAUUUAUGUUAGAUAAUUUUUUGGACGGAAUGUUGGUGGAUCCGUGCGUCUGCAACAGCACCCUGGAGAGGAGCUCUGGAAAUGGACAAGAAAAAUGUUUUGCGCCCCUGCCUUUGACAAAGUGGGCACAGGGCGGCAUCAGCGCUCACCUAAAAAGCCCAUAUGCCACUUAUUGAGAGAAAUUGUCACUGUUUUUGGGCAGAAUUAUGUGAGCUUUUAUAUGUUGUUGGAGGUACGUCUUGGUCAGUAUAGCGUAGAAAAUGCCGCCCUUGUCAAUUUGCCGACAUAUGCGGCCGCCUAACGGUCUGUGUACACUAGCAGGCUGUACAUUUCCGCUGCUAUAUGCUGUGGCGGUGCUGGCAGCAUAUAGCAGCAGUUCGGUUGUGCAUCAAUAAUUCAGUACAGUCCAUCAAGAAUUCAGCCUUUUGUAUAAGGUCUGGUUAUUAAAUGGGUAAAUAGUUUAAUCCAUUCUACAUUUCAUUUAUUUAUUCACAGAUAAAUAGUAAUAUGCUCUUAACCGUUCUGGUGACAAACUUUGCUGCCCUGUUUCCAAUCGUCAACAUGGCUGGGAGAACCUAUUGAACUACAGAGAGCUAUGAACGCCUGUUGUAUGCAGAUGAAGAGGUCCCAAUGAAGAGCGGUGGUUCUCAGUCCUGGUCCUGGGGACUCAAAGUGGUGCACAUUUUUGUUUUUGCCUUAGCACUACACAGCUGAUUCAAAUGAUCAACUCAUCAUCAAGCUUCAAACAGUAUUUAAGUAUUCAUUUUUGAUGCCAUCCUUGAUAUAAUCCUUCUGUUGUCACAUUCUACACAUGCAUUUAUCCAAUGUUAUCAUGAUUUGUUAUAAGAGAUAUUAUACUUUCAGUAAUCCACAAUGACCUGGUGAUGUAAAAGUCUAAUAAUGACAUUAUCUUCCAUUUUCCUACAGAUACCUUGCAACUGGAGAUUCCUCCAAAACGAUUCCCUACAGUUACCGUGUCGGGCACUGCACGAUUGGGUGGCCAAGGCCACCUGGGACUGCCUCGUGGGGAAAUUCAGGUGUGUGUGAAGGCUACCUGUGUCCUGCAUAACUUCAUGAGGAUGGACACAAGGACCAGGAGGGGACCUGCAGCUUGCCGCCGUGUGCCAGAGGAGAGGUCUGCCGCUUUGCAGGAUGUUGCAAGGAUGGGGGCCAACAAUGCAGCACUGGAGGCAAUCCGUGUGGGAAGGCCUUUACCUCCUACUUCCCUGGCAACACCAAAUACCACACUAUGCAUGAUACAGGCUCUUUUAAGAGCCACCCACCUUGCAAUAAGAGUAUUGUUCCAUUUACUUAGGUAUGUCAACUGCAGUUAUGAUUUAUACCUCUUAGGUGAGGGUGCCGUUCAGGUAAAAUUAUUUAAAAAAAAAAUAAAAAAAUGUUUACCUUAUUUAACGGUGCUGUUCAGGUAAGGGUGAUGUCUGUACAUAAACAAAACAGGCUCUUUUAAGAGUCACCCAUAUUGAAAAAAAUGUGAACAGUAAGGCACCCUACAACCCACACCUACACAGUUGUGUAUCAAUCUGAUUGAUGGAUUGUAUUGUGCAGUAAGCAGGCUCAGGUGUAUAACUGGCUCCUUCCACCUUCAAAGAAUAGGCGAGAGGACCAACCAUGGAGAGUAGUAAGACACGCCAUUAUUUAUAUUUAAGUAACUACGCUAUAUCGUUUGUCCUCGUGUGUCUGCAUGUUUUUCAGUAUAAAGUACUCUGCAGCCACACACAGAUUCCUGUUGAACACUGUCUCUUUAACUACCUUGUUUUCUCAAUAACAAUUUCGACCCCUUCUCCCUAAAUCCUCUAGGUUAGAUCAGCUGUGUCGGUGAACCACUCCCGCUUCUGAACUGCCUGACACAUAGAGGGCACAGCAUGAUUAGAGGUAUGUUUUACUGUGAGAGAGGAUGCCAACCCCCAGUCCCGUCAUCGCCACCUCACCGACUCUAAGAUAACCCUCUGGCCAACUGGGGGCCCAAGAAUGGUUAGGAGACACUGUUAGAGACACUGUUAUGUAAUUGUGAUGACCUGAGAGAAUAUGAAGUUUGGUAGCAUAUGAUUAAUGAAUUACUGUGCUCUCUUCUCUGCUCCUCCGUUCUUAUCUCGUUCCUUUUCUGUCUAUUACACUUUUUCUCACACCUCUCCCCACCUCAUCUUUCUUCCUCUGUUUUUAUAAUGCCCACCAGAUGUGCAUUGAAUUACAGAUUGAACUUAUAUUUCUAAUAUUUAAUAAUAUUACGUAUUUAUAACUUGGAUGAUGAACUUCUUUCAACUUCUUUCAAUAAAGCUAUUCAUACCUGAA